AGAGUUUGAUCCUGGCUCAGGAUGAACGCUAGCGGCAGGCCUAAUACAUGCAAGUCGAACGGUGAUAGCAAUAUCAUAGUGGCGCACGGGUGCGUAACACGUAUGCAACCUACCUAUUAUUGGGGGAUAGCCUUUGGAAACGGAGAUUAAUACCGCAUAAUACGAUUGACUGGCAUCGGUUGAUUGUUAAAGCUUAGGCGAUAAUAGAUGGGCAUGCGUCCAAUUAGUUAGUUGGUUAGGUAACGGCUGACCAAGACGAUGAUUGGUAGGGGAUCUGAGAGGAUAAUCCCCCACACUGGCACUGAGAUACGGGCCAGACUCCUACGGGAGGCAGCAGUAGGGAAUAUUGGGCAAUGGGCGGAAGCCUGACCCAGCCAUGCCGCGUGCAGGAAGAAGGCGUUAUGCGUUGUAAACUGCUUUUUUAUAGGAAGAAGGAUCCCUUGCGAGGGAAGGUGACGGUACUAUAAGAAUAAGCACCGGCUAACUCCGUGCCAGCAGCCGCGGUAAUACGGAGGGUGCAAGCGUUGUCCGGAUUUAUUGGGUUUAAAGGGUGCGUAGGCGGUUUAUUAAGUCAGUGGUGAAAGACGGUCGCUCAACGAUUGCAGUGCCAUUGAUACUGGUAGACUUGAGUGAGAUUGAGGUAGCUGGAAUGGAUAGUGUAGCGGUGAAAUGC
rnacentral:rRNA from 1 species